rnacentral:rRNA from 1 species
GACAGAGGGUGCAAACGUUGUUCGGAAUUACUGGGCGUAAAGCGCGUGUAGGCUGCUUCGCAAGUCGGGUGUGAAAGCCCUGGGCUCAACCUAGGAAGUGCACUCGAAACUGCGAAGCUUGAGUCCUGGAGAGGAAGGCGGAAUUCUCGGUGUAGAGGUGAAAUUCGUAGAUACCGAGAGGAACACCGGUGGCGAAGGCGGCCUUCUGGACAGUGACUGACGCUGAGACGCGAAAGCGUGGGGAGCAAACAGG